rnacentral:rRNA from 1 species
AACGAACGCUGGCGGCGUGGAUAAGACAUGCAAGUCGAACGGGACAACAUCUGUAGCAAUACAGGUGUUGUUUAGUGGCGAACGGGUGCGUAACACGUGGGCAAUCUGCCGAGAAGUGGGGGAUAGCUCGCCGAAAGGCGAAUUAAUACCGCAUACGAUCAGCUAAGACAUCUUAGCGACAUCAAAGCCGGGGUAACCUGGCGCUACUCGAUGAGCCCGCGGCCUAUCAGCUAGUUGGUGAGGUAACGGCUCACCAAGGCUAUGACGGGUAGCUGGUCUGAGAGGACGACCAGCCACACUGGAACUGAGACACGGUCCAGACACCUACGGGUGGCAGCAGUCGAGAAUUUUUCUCAAUGGGGAAACCCUGAAGGAGCGACGCCGCGUGGAGGAUGAAGGCUUU